rnacentral:rRNA from 1 species
AAACCAACAGGGAUUGCCUCAGUAGCGGCGAGUGAAGCGGCAAAAGCUCAAAUUUGAAAUCUGGCGUCUUUGGCGUCCGAGUUGUAAUUUGAAGAAGGUAUCUUUGGGCCCGGCUCUUGUCUAUGUUCCUUGGAACAGGACGUCACAGAGGGUGAGAAUCCCCUGCGAUGAGAUGACCCGGGUCUGUGUAAAGUUCCUUCGACGAGUCGAGUUGUUUGGGAAUGCAGCUCUAAGUGGGUGGUAAAUUCCAUCUAAAGCUAAAUAUUGGCGAGAGACCGAUAGCGAACAAGUACAGUGAUGGAAAGAUGAAAAGAACUUUGAAAAGAGAGUGAAAAAGUACGUGAAAUUGUUGAAAGGGAAGGGCUUGAGAUCAGACUUGGUAUUUUGCAUGCUGCUCUCUCGGGGGCGGCCGCUGCGGUUUACCGGGCCAGCAUCGGUUUGGAGCGGCAGGAUAAUGGCGGAGGAAUGUGGCACGGCUUCUGCUGUGUGUUAUAG